UACGAAGGGGGCUAGCGUUGUUCGGAAUUACUGGGCGUCAAGCGCGCGCAGGCGGUCUUCCAAGUCAGUGGUGAAAGCCUGGAGCUCAACUCCAGAACUGCCAUUGAAACUGUUAGACUUGAGUACGAGAGAGGUGAGUGGAAUUCCCAGUGUAGAGGUGAAAUUCGUAGAUAUUGGGAAGAACACCGGUGGCGAAGGCGGCUCACUGGCUCGUAACUGACGCUCAGGCGCGACAGCGUGGGGAUCAAACAGG
rnacentral:rRNA from 1 species